UACGUAGGUGGCAAGCGUUGUCCGGAAUUAUUGGGCGUAAAGCGCACGUAGGCGGCAUCGCAAGUCCCAUGUGAAAGCCCACGGCUUAACCGUGGAAGUGCAUGGGAAACUGCAGUGCUUGAGUACUUAAGAGGAUCGCGGAAUUCCCGGUGUAGAGGUGAAAUUCGUAGAUAUCGGGAGGAACACCAGUGGCGAAGGCGGCGAUCUGGGAAGAUACUGACGCUGAGGUGCGAAAGCGUGGGGAGCAAACAGG
rnacentral:rRNA from 1 species